UACGGAGGGUGCAAGCGUUGUCCGGAAUCACUGGGUGUAAAGGGUGUGUAGGCGGGUCGGUAAGUCAGAGGUGAAAGCCCACGGCUCAACCGUGGAAUUGCCUUUGAUACUGCCGGUCUUGAGUCCCGGAGGGGUCACUGGAAUUCGUGGUGUAGCGGUGAAAUGCGUAGAUAUCACGAGGAACACCGGAGGUGUAGACGGGUGACUGGACGGCGACUGACGCUGAGGCACGAAAGCGUGGGGAGCAAACAGG
rnacentral:misc_RNA from 1 species